rnacentral:rRNA from 1 species
GGAACUGCCAUCAAAACUUUUCAGCUAGAGUAUGAUAGAGGAAAGCAGAAUUUCUAGUGUAGAGGUGAAAUUCGUAGAUAUUAGAAAGAAUACCAAUUGCGAAGGCAGCUUUCUGGAUCAUUACUGACACUGAGGAACGAAAGCAUGGGUAGCGAAGAGGAUUAGAUACCCUCGUAGUCCAUGCCGUAAACGAUGUGUGUUAGACGUUGGAAAUUUAUUUUCAGUGUCGCAGGGAAACCGAUAAACACACCGCCUGGGGAGUACGACCGCAAGGUUAAAACUCAAAUGAAUUGACGGGGACCCGCACAAGUAGUGGAGCAUGUGGUUUAAUUCGAAGAUACGCGCAGAACCUUACCAACACUUGACAUGUUCGUCGCGACUCUAAGAGAUUAGAGUUUUCGGUUCGGCUGGACGAAACACAGGUGCUGCAUGGCUGUCGUCAGCUCGUGUCGUGAGAUGUUGGGUUAAGUCCCGCAACGAGCGCAACCCUCACUUUUAGUUGCCAUCAUUAAGUUGGGCACUCUGAAAGAACUGCCAGUGAUAAGCUGGAGGAAGGUGGGGAUGACGUCAAGUCCUCAUGGCCCUUACGUGUUGGGCUACACACGUGCUACAAUGGCAUCUACAAUAGGAAGCAAAACGGCAACGUUAAGCAAAUCCCGAAAAGAUGCCUCAGUUCGGAUUGCACUCUGCAACUCGAGUGCAUGAAGCUGGAAUUACUAGUAAUCGUGGAUCAGCGUGCCACGGUGAAUGCGUUCCCGGGUCUUGUACACACCGCCCGUCACACCAUGGGAGUUGGUUCUACCUUAAGGCAAGGUUUUAAACCCUUGACCACGGUAUAGUCAGCGACUGGGGU